AAAAAAAAAAAAAAAAAAUAGCAUGUUAAGAUUGAAUUUGAUCUCGACAUUUCAUUUCUUAACUUUUGCCUCCUACUGUUGUGCUAAGAACAUGCGAUUCAGAAUGACUCAAUUGGUCUGUAAGCAUGAAAUAUGUAUUUCUCUGGGAUUGCUACAGCAUCAUCAUUCCUUUACCGUCUCUUUUUAUGAGUACCAAAAGCAGAACUUUAUCAUCAAUGCGAAACUGAAUUCACCUAGCCAUAAGAUAUUGCACGUAUCAAAAGUAUCUCUCACAUCAAACAGAAAAGACACAGGUAUAAUGGAAGAGGCUUUACUUUCAAUCCUUUUCUGCACCAUCUUAUUUAAAGACUUUCAGCAUCAACGGAUAUCAUUCUAACAGAAAUUCCACAACCAGCCAUCCAUUAUGACAUUAUAUAAGCACUUUCAGGUUUUCAGAGAAACACUACCAUCUGAAAUUUCCCAAUAAAUUCAGAUUGAUAAGAUUAAUAUCACUUAAAUGGCAAAUUGCACAAAAGAAACAU
rnacentral:misc_RNA from 1 species